CACUUCCUUCUUUCUGCGGUUGGACCUCAUCGUGUUCACUUGUUCGCGUGUUAAUUCUGUAUUCCGAAGGCUGUAGAAAAUCGGAAAGAAAUGGAAAAUGCUAAAAAGUUUAAUCCAGUCACAAGUGUUGUGGAAGUCUCAUGAAAGUAACUGGGAAAUAUUGGAUUGAUACAGAUUUCUCUGAAGAGCCCAUAAAGAUGGCGUUUUGAAAUGGCUGUUUCACGGAUUUACUCGGAAGAUAGUCCAUUGACGCACCAAUUCGAAAAGAAAAUAAGGAAAUUCUUUUGACGAAUGCAGAAUUACGUGCAUGGAACAUUGAAGCUGCCGAGGAAAGGUAAAUUCUUCAUGUGUGCAGUAUUCGGAAAAUGUACUCGUCCUGCUAUUGAAGGUGUGUAAAAUUUCCCGUUAUUUGAUUCUGGUUUUUGUAUGAUGAUAAAACAUGGCAUUUCCUUUUGCGGUUUCCACCAGAAGUUUGCUAAUGAUGGCUAGGAUGUCUGAUUCAUACAACAAAAUUUUUUUCUAUUCACGUUUUGAUUAUGUAUUAAAAAAUUGCUUAUUUUUAUUUUAGGUCCUUGGAGCAUACAAGGAAGUUCGUUUAAAUAAAAAAAUUAAAAUCGUAAA